rnacentral:lncRNA from 1 species
AGUAUACUAAGGACCUGGAGGCAAUCUUGCCAGACUUCCUCUGCAGGCAUCUUUAAUUUUCUUGUAUCAUAAAUUUUUAUCUUACAUUCUAUACAAGGGGGAAUCACUGAGCUGAUGAGUGAGCCUAACCAUUUGCCCGACACCAUUGCAGAAACUGGUUAUUUUACCAAGGCUUUGACUGGAAUAGUGUGCUUCCCUUUAAGGAAUCAAACUUGACUUUUGGAGCUAAUAAAAGCCCCUUGGGAAAACUGCUCUCUUACCUUGUCUACACAGUCUCUGGACAGAGUUCCUGACCUGUGUAUCCAGAAUGAGUGAUCCUUGAAAAUCUCAAAUUGGAUCAUGUCCUUCAGCUACUUAAAACCUGUCAAUGAUGACCAGUUGUACUUCAAGUAAAAUCCAAAUCCUCUCAAGGUACCAAGGGGAGAAGGAAGAAACAAUACAAGAAUUGGCCCCAGGAAAUAUUUAUUCUAAAUCCGGCACAUGCAAAACCCCGAGAUAGCCAUCAAGGACAAAAAUCGUCACUGGGAGGUGGGAAGCCCUGAAGGAAAAGCACUAGUCUUGGUGUCAGAAGACCUAUGCUUGUGUUUUCACGCUGACAGGACAUGUGUAUCUCAACAAGUAUCUUCAUCUUCUGAACCUAUUUCCUCAUCUAUAAAAGGUCACUAACACCCAUUUUGAAAAACCACAUGUAGGUUAGGAGGAUUCAAUGUAUGUGAAAGAGUUCUUCAAACUCCUAAGCACUUGCUGUGCUGAUGGUAAAGGUGAUAAUGAGGAGGAAGGAGUGUCUGCUAUGGGAAAACCACUGUCCUAAAACUUUUAAAUACAUUGUUAAUUAAUCUGCACCAAUAAGUCUACGAAUUAGAUUCUAUCAUAAUCUCAAUUUUACAGAUGAGGUUCAGAGAGAUGACAAAUUUUCCCCAAUAUCACACAGUCAUUUUAAUGGUGGAACAGAAAUUUUAACCCAAAUCUAUCUGGCUCCAUAGUUAACACUCUUAACUACCAUAUUAUAUGGCCCCAAUCUAACUCCCUUAUCUUUGGGAAAUACUUUUAUUUAUAGGUCAAUGACACAGAGUUACAGAUCCUGGGUACAGCCUGGGUCUGUAACUUACUCAAUGUAUAAUGCUGGGUAAGUCUUAACCUCUCUGUGCCUCAUCUGUUAAAUGAAAGAGUUGAACUCUAGGAUCUCUCAAGUUCAUUCCCUUUGAGUUCAUCUAACAUUAUACGGUCUUCGUUCUUGUUGGUACAAUAGUUUAUUAGGUAAUUGUUUAUUAGAUAAUUAACAGUCCAUGUCACCUUGGCUAUCUGCCAAAUGAAUAGAAGCACACUACAGAUAUUAGAGAGGGAGGGUUGAAGGGAAAAGAUUUCCAAGGGCUUUGGCAGGUGGAGAAGGCUUUUUGGAGAGGAUAGGCCUGAACCGUUUCACCAUUAAAAGCACUUUUAUUAUUUUUCUCCAUAGUCACUAUAUUUACAAAGAUUUUAUGUUUACUUAACAUUGUGUCAUGGUCUGGCAAAAGAGAGCAUCUGCAGCCCCUCCAGGAAAGAAGAGAAAUCCUGUAAUCCCUAGAGAGAGUCAGGCAGGAGGACAAAAUUAGUGGCUGCAUGCUUACUGCAGACCAGCACGGUAUGAGAACAGUAUUUUGUCAUCAGCUGUGAGUCAGCUAAAAGUUGAAGCCAAAUGUUCAAGCAUUGUUAGGAGUUGAGUCUUUUCUUUGAUGAAGCAUAUGGGAGCCUCAUUCAUCCACACUUUCCUUGCCUCCACAUCCUUGCCAUUAUGGGAAUGGCAUAUAAGCCAGUGAUGCUCAACCAGAAGUGACUUUGUCCCUUAUGAACUAUAGGCGAUAUCCGAAGACAGACUAAAUGCCAUGACUUGGCUGGGGAGGAAGUGGGAGCUUGUUCCUGAUAUCUAGUGGAUAGAGGCCAACAAUACUUAGGGCAGGCUCCCCACCCUCCAUCCCCAGCAACAGAGAAGUAUCUGGUCCAAAAUUUCAAUAGUGCUGAGGCUGAAAAACUCUGAUACAAGGGAACAGCAGUUACAACAAAGAAAAAGAAAGCCAACUCACCAAGAGCAGCUGUAAAUAGAAACAUCUUAUUUUUACUUUCUCCUCUCCUCCCCAGCAUUAAAAGGAAUAGAAAGGAAAGCACUUGGAAUCCCCAGGACAGCUUGUGGAAGGUUUUGGGGUAGUGUGGGUGGAGCUUUAAACUGAAUAUGAGAUUGAUUUUUAAAAUAACUUCUUAUUUUGAAACAGUUUAAGACUCACAAGAGUUGCAAAAAUUAUAGUAUAAAGUCCCCAUAUACUCUUUAGCUAACUUCUUCCAAUAAUAAUGUUAUAUAACCAUAGUAAAUGGCCAAAACCAGAAAAGUGACUGUGAUGCAAUAAUACUGUUAACUCAGGUGCAGAUAUUAUUUGGAUUUCACCAGGAUAUACGUGCACUCUUUUUGUCUAUUUGUUUUGGUAUAUAGUUCUGUGACAUUUUAUCACAUGGCUAGACUCAAGUACCCAUCACCAUAAUCAAGAUACAGAACUGCUCCAAAUCCACAAAGAAACUCUCUCAUGUGUUACCCCUUAAUAGGCGCACGCUUCCUUCAACCCCAGUCUCUAAUAAACACUGAUCUGUUCUUUAUUACUGUAAUUUAGUCAUUCCAAUAAUUGUAUAUAAAUAUAAUUUUACAGUAUAUUGCCCUUUGAGGUUUUGUUUACUGUUUUAUUUUUCAUUCAGCAUAAUGCACUUGAGUCAUCUAAGUUGUUGUAUGUAUCAAUAGUUUAUUCCUUAUUACUGAUGAAUAGGAGCCCAUUGUAUGGAUGUACCAAAGUUUAUUUAACAAUUUACUUGUUGAAGGAUAUCUGGAUUAUUUCCAUUUCUUGGCUGUUAUAAAUAAAGCUGCUAUGAGCUUUUGUGUUC